UCCCUCGAUUUUCAUCUAUUUCCAUAAGCGUCCCCUCAAUUUCCACUCUGUUUUCAUAAGCACCCCUCAGAAAGUGCAAAAAUAUUUUAAGCGCCCGGGCGCUUAUUCGCGCGAGUACGGUACUUGGAAAAGUGAGCAAAUGAGCAAAGCUCCAUCCAUUACAUUAGUUAGCUAUUUUUGGUCCUCCUUUUACAGAUACAGUACUGUAUGUAUUACUUUUAGACUUGGUAAAUGGCAAAGUAUGGUAAGUGUUAAAACCCAUACAGCAAUAUGUGUGAUGACACAGUUUAAAGAUGAGAGGAAUCUCCAUGUAUAUGUAUAGCCAUUGGUCUCAAAUACUUGGAAAUAAAUACAAUUUUAAAAACAAUAAAGAUUUUUACUGUGUUAUUUAUGUGUUUGCAGACCUGAAGUGAACUUACAAAUUGUUAAAUAGAACAAGAAGAAAAUACAUUGAGAACCACAACCAAAUGUUUAUUCCAAAUUACAAAAUGUCAUCAACAUGAAAUAUGCGAGUGAUAUGAUACACUUAGUAGUGGUUGGACUUCUAUUAGAAGUAAAUUUCACUGUAAUUAAGAUUUGCAUAUUGUGGUAUAAAACAGUUUUCAACAGGUAGUCUUAGCUAGUCAAUUAUGACCAUUCGUAUAACACUGACUUAAG